rfam:Candidatus Portnoybacteria bacterium RBG_13_40_8 RBG_13_scaffold_3293, whole genome shotgun sequence.
GCCGAGGUAGCUCAGUGGUAGAGCACGCGACUGAAAAUCGCGGUGUCGAGAGUUCGAUCCUCUCCCUCGGCA